rnacentral:lncRNA from 1 species
GGAAUCUUCAAAGAACUGAUUGGCGGAGUAUGGAAGUCAGUAGUUCCCGGAUGUAGAAGAGACAUCCACUUGUAGAGAGCAAUGCAUUGGUCCACAGGUAUAUUCAUGCACAGAUAACACCUCAUAGAAACCCAGGUCAUAUUAUUAUAUCUCACUGAUGUGUCGCUGUCUCUCUGGCACUCAAACAUUCUGCCUCCGAUGACCCACUUUUUGUUUCUUCUGGUUCUUUAUGAGGAGAGAGACCUGGAGAAUUGGAAGUAUUUGGCAAAGGGGUAGGUGAGGAGAAGAUGGUGUCUAGAGAUGUUAAGAAGAUAAAAUCCAUGGGAGUUAUGUUGCUUUCAGAGUUCCAUUCAGCAAUUGUUUGAUAGAAACAUCGGAGUCUGAAGCUAAGCACCCAGACAAAAUAUUGGCACUCAGCCACGGAGUGAAUGUAUGUGCCGGGUCGUUAGUCACACAAAUGCCUCUUUCACAGCUUGUGUCAAGAUCCGUCACUGAUUUUGGCAGCGGCAGACAUCUGAGGUACUUUGCAGGUGAAGAAAGUGGAGCAGUUGCUUUACUCAGCAUGAGCCCCAUGGAGUCACUGUCUCAAUGGAAACUGCUAGAAGAUGCUGAAUUCAGAAGCUCCUCCUAAGGCAACACCAGGU